AGUGAACGCUGGCGGUAGGCCCAACACAUGCAAGUCGAACGGCAGCACAGAGGAGCUUGCUCCUUGGGUGGCGAGUGGCGGACGGGUGAGGAAUACAUCGGAAUCUACUCUGUCGUGGGGGAUAACGUAGGGAAACUUACGCUAAUACCGCAUACGACCUACGGGUGAAGGCAGGGGAUCUUCGGACCUUGCGCGAUUGAAUGAGCCGAUGUCGGAUUAGCUAGUUGGCGGGGUAAAGGCCCACCAAGGCGACGAUCCGUAGCUGGUCUGAGAGGAUGAUCAGCCACACUGGAACUGAGAUACGGUCCAGACUCCUACGGGAGGCAGCAGUGGGGAAUAUUGGACAAUGGGCGCAAGCCUGAUCCAGCCAUACCGCGUGGGUGAAGAAGGCCUUCGGGUUGUAAAGCCCUUUUGUUGGGAAAGAAAUCCAUCUGGUUAAUACCCGGGUGGGAUGACGGUACCCAAAGAAUAAGCACCGGCUAACUUCGUGCCAGCCGCCGCUGUAA
rnacentral:rRNA from 1 species